UGGGGUUUUGGCUCAGUGGUAGAGUGCUUGCUUAGCACGUGUGAGGCACUGGGUUCGAUUUCCAGCACCACAU
rnacentral:tRNA from 1 species